rnacentral:rRNA from 1 species
UACGUAGGGUGCAAGCGUUGUCCGGAAUCAUUGGGCGUAAAGCGCGCGUAGGUGGCUUCGUAAGUCCGUUGUGAAAGUCAAAGGCUCAACCUUUGAAAGCCGAUGGAUACUGCGGAGCUAGAGUCCGGAAGAGGCGAGUGGAAUUCCUGGUGUAGCGGUGGAAUGCGCAGAUAUCAGGAGGAACACCAAUAGCGAAGGCAGCUCGCUGGGACGGUACUGACGCUAAGGCGCGAAAGCGUGGGGAGCGAACAGG